rnacentral:rRNA from 1 species
ACGCUGGCGGCAGGCCUAACACAUGCAAGUCGAGCGGAAACGACAACAUUGAAUCUUCGGAGGAUUUGUUGGGCGUCGAGCGGCGGACGGGUGAGUAAUGCCUAGGAAAUUGCCUUGAUGUGGGGGAUAACCAUUGGAAACGAUGGCUAAUACCGCAUAAUGCCUACGGGCCAAAGAGGGGGACCUUCGGGCCUCUCGCGUCAAGAUAUGCCUAGGUGGGAUCAGCUAGUUGGUGAGGUAAUGGCUCACCAAGGCGACGAUCCCUAGCUGGUCUGAGAGGAUGAUCAGCCACACUGGAACUGAGACACGGUCCAGACUCCUACGGGAGGCAGCAGUGGGGAAUAUUGCACAAUGGGCGAAAGCCUGAUGCAGCCAUGCCGCGUGUAUGAAGAAGGCCUUCGGGUUGUAAAGUACUUUCAGUUGUGAGGAAGGGUGUGUAGUUAAUAGCUGCACAUCUUGACGUUAGCAACAGAAGAAGCACCGGCUAACUCCGUGCCAGCAGCCGCGGUAAUACGGAGGGUGCGAGCGUUAAUCGGAAUUACUGGGCGUAAAGCGCAUGCAGGUGGUUCAUUAAGUCAGAUGUGAAAGCCCGGGGCUCAACCUCGGAACUGCAUUUGAAACUGGUGAACUAGAGUGCUGUAGAGGGGGGUAGAAUUUCAGGUGUAGCGGUGAAAUGCGUA